GAUAUGUCACCUGAACAGUUCAUUGGUGCAUUUGACUCGCAUUUGAGAGAAAGGAUUUUCUGCUAUGAUGGUUUCUCUGAUCCUCUUGGAUGGGAUCUCUCAAGAAACGAUUGUGAUAACAGUCGUGUCUGUGUUAUCCAUCAGAACUCUAAUGCAGCACAAGUGGUUAAGAGUAACUUGGCAAGUCGUUCCUCCCAAAACAGC